rnacentral:ribozyme from 2 species
CCGCUAACCAUGCCGUGGCCAGUCCCAAGCCUGGAUGUGAAAAUGGGAGGGGCGG